CCCUUAGAUGUUCUGGGCCGCACGCGCGCUACACUGACGAAUUCAACGAGUUUAUAACCUUUGCUGGGAGGCAUGGGUAAUCUUGUGAACGUUCGUCGUGAUGGGGAUAGAUUAUUGCAAUUGUUAAUCUUCAACGAGGAAUUCCUAGUAAACGCAAGUCAUCAGCUUGCAUUGAUUACGUCCCUGCCCUUUGUACACACCGCCCGCCGCACCUACCGAUUGAAUGGUCCGGUGAAUUCUUCGGACUGCGGCUUUGACUCGAUUUCGGUCGAGGCGUUGCUGCGGGAAGUUGAUUAAACCUUACCAUUUAGAGGAAGGUGAAGUCGUAACA
rnacentral:rRNA from 1 species